AUAUGGCCAUUGAGCCAAAUGGUAAUUUAGGCAUACUGUGUCAGAUUCCAAGACAGCAAUGGCUGGAGGACCAAUGAAACACUGAAUGACUGAAUCAUACUGUUGUUCAUGUUUGUUUCACUCAGCAAAUAAUACAGUUUUAUUAUCUAAUGAGGGCAAAACUGCAUAUAUUAAAAAACAGAUGUAUUAAUAGUGAUAUUUGUAUCCUUGCUUCCAUCUAUGAUGCA